UGGGGAAUCUUCCGCAAUGGACGAAAGUCUGACGGAGCAACGCCGCGUGAGUGAUGACGGCCUUCGGGUUGUAAAGCUCUGUUAAUCGGGACGAAUGGUUCUUGUGCAAAUAGUGCGAGGAUUUGACGGUACCGGAAUAGAAAGCCACGGCUAACUACGUGCCAGCAGCCGCGGUAAUACGUAGGUGGCAAGCGUUGUCCGGAAUUAUUGGGCGUAAAGCGCGCGCAGGCGGAUUGGUCAGUCUGUCUUAAAAGUUCGGGGCUUAACCCCGUGAUGGGAUGGAAACUGCCAAUCUAGAGUAUCGGAGAGGAAAGUGGAAUUCCUAGUGUAGCGGUGAAAUGCGUAGAUAUUAGGGAGAACACCAGUGGCGAAGGCGACUUUCUGGACGAAAACUGACGCUGAGGCGCGAAAGCCAGGGGAGCGAACGGG
rnacentral:rRNA from 1 species